rnacentral:telomerase_RNA from 1 species
UCGCACCCGAUCGAUUCCGGGCUCGCACCGUCAAGGUUGCACUAUAGCGCCUCUUUAACCCUAAUCCCGUAGGCUUGCACACGCCAGCAUUAUGGCGGCAAAACCCCCUGGAGUCCUUUCCUACGGGGUUUCCCUCCGGUACAAAUAAAGGAAACCCUGUCGCGCUGCUCAGAUCUCGGGAACCUGGGGUUUGGAGGGUUCUGCCGAGGGGGGGUGGAGGGGAAUUGCCCUGCUAUGUGCAUCGGCAAUUCUAACAGUUCGGCUGUGUUCCCCACCCCAUUCCGGGUAGCAACCCUGCUGAGACGCUGCGUAUUUUGCUUCUUGACUUCUGUUCCACAUCGUAUUUU